rnacentral:snRNA from 1 species
AGCCGCGCGGUGAGCACAAAGCGAACUAUUCUUUCGCCUUUUACUAAAGAAUACCGUGUGCGCGCCGCAGAUAGCGGCAUACGCCUAUUUUUGGAGGGUUCACUCUUAAAAUGAGUGGG